rnacentral:rRNA from 1 species
GACGAACGCUGGCGGCGUGCCUAAUACAUGCAAGUCGAGCGAGCUGGAAUUCAAAGAUCCCUUCGGGGUGCUUUGUUGGACGCUAGCGGCGGAUGGGUGAGUAACACGUGGGCGAAUCCUGCCCUAAAGACUGGGAUACCACUUGGAAACAGGUGCUAAUACCGGAUAACAACAUGAAUACGCAUGAUUCAAGUUUGAAAGGCGGCGCAAGCUGUCACUUUAGGAUGAGCCCGCGGCGCAUUAGCUAGUGUGGGGUAAGCUACAAGGCAAUGAUGCGUAGCCGAGUUGAGAGACUGAUC